CACGAACGCUGGCGGCAGGCUUAACACAUGCAAGUCGAGCGCCCCGCAAGGGGAGCGGCAGACGGGUGAGUAACGCGUGGGAAUCUACCCAUCUCUACGGAAUAACGCAUGGAAACGUGUGCUAAUACCGUAUACGUCCUUCGGGAGAAAGAUUUAUCGGAGAUGGAUGAGCCCGCGUUGGAUUAGCUAGUUGGUGGGGUAAAGGCCUACCAAGGCGACGAUCCAUAGCUGGUCUGAGAGGAUGACCAGCCACACUGGGACUGAGACACGGCCCAGACUCCUACGGGAGGCAGCAGUGGGGAAUAUUGGACAAUGGGCGCAAGCCUGAUCCGGCCAUGUCGCGUGAGUGAUGAAGGCCCUAGGGUUGUAACGCUCUUUCACCGGUGAAGAUAAUGACGGUAACCGGAGAAGAAGCCCCGGCUAACUUCGUGCCAGCCGCCGCAGUAACAC
rnacentral:rRNA from 1 species